GAUGAACGUUGGCGGCGUGCCUAAUACAUGCAAGUCGAGCGAACGGACGAGAAGCUUGCUUCUCUGAUGUUAGCGGCGGACGGGUGAGUAACACGUGGAUAACCUACCUAUAAGACUGGGAUAACUUCGGGAAACCGGAGCUAAUACCGGAUAAUAUUUUGAACCGCAUGGUUCAAAAGUGAAAGACGGUCUUGCUGUCACGUAUAGAUGGAUCCGCGCUGCAUUAGCUAGUUGGUAAGGUAACGGCCUACCAAGGCAACGAUGCAUAGCCGACCUGAGAGGAUGAUCGGCCACACUGGAACUGAGACACGGUCCAGACUCCUACGGGAGGCAGCAGUAGGGAAUCUUGCGCAAUGGGCGAAAGCCUGACGGAGCAACGCCGCGUGAGUGAUGAAGGUCUUCGGAUCGUAAAACUCUGUUGUUAGGGAAGAACAUAUGUGUAAGUAACUGUGCACAUCUUGACGGUACCUAAACAGAAAGCCACGGCUAACUACGUG
rnacentral:rRNA from 1 species